GGGUUGUGAGGUUAAGCGACUAAGCGUACACGGUGGAUGCCCUGGCAGUCAGAGGCGAUGAAGGACGUGCUAAUCUGCGAUAAGCGUCGGUAAGGUGAUAUGAACCGUUAUAACCGGCGAUUUCCGAAUGGGGAAACCCAGUGUGUUUCGACACACUAUCAUUAACUGAAUCCAUAGGUUAAUGAGGCGAACCGGGGGAACUGAAACAUCUAAGUACCCCGAGGAAAAGAAAUCAACCGAGAUUCCCCCAGUAGCGGCGAGCGAACGGGGAGCAGCCCAGAGCCUGAAUCAGUGUGUGUGUUAGUGGAAGCGUCUGGAAAGGCGCGCGAUACAGGGUGACAGCCCCGUACACAAAAAUGCACAUGCUGUGAGCUCGAUGAGUAGGGCGGGACACGUGGUAUCCUGUCUGAAUAUGGGGGGACCAUCCUCCAAGGCUAAAUACUCCUGACUGACCGAUAGUGAACCAGUACCGUGAGGGAAAGGCGAAAAGAACCCCGGCGAGGGGAGUGAAAAAGAACCUGAAACCGUGUACGUACAAGCAGUGGGAGCACGCUUAGGCGUGUGACUGCGUACCUUUUGUAUAAUGGGUCAGCGACUUAUAUUCUGUAGCAAGGUUAACCGAAUAGGGGAGCCGAAGGGAAACCGAGUCUUAACUGGGCGUUAAGUUGCAGGGUAUAGACCCGAAACCCGGUGAUCUAGCCAUGGGCAGGUUGAAGGUUGGGUAACACUAACUGGAGGACCGAACCGACUAAUGUUGAAAAAUUAGCGGAUGACUUGUGGCUGGGGGUGAAAGGCCAAUCAAACCGGGAGAUAGCUGGUUCUCCCCGAAAGCUAUUUAGGUAGCGCCUCGUGAAUUCAUCUCCGGGGGUAGAGCACUGUUUCGGCAAGGGGGUCAUCCCGACUUACCAACCCGAUGCAAACUGCGAAUACCGGAGAAUGUUAUCACGGGAGACACACGGCGGGUGCUAACGUCCGUCGUGAAGAGGGAAACAACCCAGACCGCCAGCUAAGGUCCCAAAGUCAUGGUUAAGUGGGAAACGAUGUGGGAAGGCCCAGACAGCCAGGAUGUUGGCUUAGAAGCAGCCAUCAUUUAAAGAAAGCGUAAUAGCUCACUGGUCGAGUCGGCCUGCGCGGAAGAUGUAACGGGGCUAAACCAUGCACCGAAGCUGCGGCAGCGACGCUUAUGCGUUGUUGGGUAGGGGAGCGUUCUGUAAGCCUGUGAAGGUGUGCUGUGAGGCAUGCUGGAGGUAUCAGAAGUGCGAAUGCUGACAUAAGUAACGAUAAAGCGGGUGAAAAGCCCGCUCGCCGGAAGACCAAGGGUUCCUGUCCAACGUUAAUCGGGGCAGGGUGAGUCGACCCCUAAGGCGAGGCCGAAAGGCGUAGUCGAUGGGAAACAGGUUAAUAUUCCUGUACUUGGUGUUACUGCGAAGGGGGGACGGAGAAGGCUAUGUUGGCCGGGCGACGGUUGUCCCGGUUUAAGCGUGUAGGCUGGUUUUCCAGGCAAAUCCGGAAAAUCAAGGCUGAGGCGUGAUGACGAGGCACUACGGUGCUGAAGCAACAAAUGCCCUGCUUCCAGGAAAAGCCUCUAAGCAUCAGGUAACAUCAAAUCGUACCCCAAACCGACACAGGUGGUCAGGUAGAGAAUACCAAGGCGCUUGAGAGAACUCGGGUGAAGGAACUAGGCAAAAUGGUGCCGUAACUUCGGGAGAAGGCACGCUGAUAUGUAGGUGAAGUCCCUCGCGGAUGGAGCUGAAAUCAGUCGAAGAUACCAGCUGGCUGCAACUGUUUAUUAAAAACACAGCACUGUGCAAACACGAAAGUGGACGUAUACGGUGUGACGCCUGCCCGGUGCCGGAAGGUUAAUUGAUGGGGUUAGCGCAAGCGAAGCUCUUGAUCGAAGCCCCGGUAAACGGCGGCCGUAACUAUAACGGUCCUAAGGUAGCGAAAUUCCUUGUCGGGUAAGUUCCGACCUGCACGAAUGGCGUAAUGAUGGCCAGGCUGUCUCCACCCGAGACUCAGUGAAAUUGAACUCGCUGUGAAGAUGCAGUGUACCCGCGGCAAGACGGAAAGACCCCGUGAACCUUUACUAUAGCUUGACACUGAACAUUGAGCCUUGAUGUGUAGGAUAGGUGGGAGGCUUUGAAGUGUGGACGCCAGUCUGCAUGGAGCCGACCUUGAAAUACCACCCUUUAAUGUUUGAUGUUCUAACGUUGACCCGUAAUCCGGGUUGCGGACAGUGUCUGGUGGGUAGUUUGACUGGGGCGGUCUCCUCCUAAAGAGUAACGGAGGAGCACGAAGGUUGGCUAAUCCUGGUCGGACAUCAGGAGGUUAGUGCAAUGGCAUAAGCCAGCUUGACUGCGAGCGUGACGGCGCGAGCAGGUGCGAAAGCAGGUCAUAGUGAUCCGGUGGUUCUGAAUGGAAGGGCCAUCGCUCAACGGAUAAAAGGUACUCCGGGGAUAACAGGCUGAUACCGCCCAAGAGUUCAUAUCGACGGCGGUGUUUGGCACCUCGAUGUCGGCUCAUCACAUCCUGGGGCUGAAGUAGGUCCCAAGGGUAUGGCUGUUCGCCAUUUAAAGUGGUACGCGAGCUGGGUUUAGAACGUCGUGAGACAGUUCGGUCCCUAUCUGCCGUGGGCGCUGGAGAAUUGAGGGGGGCUGCUCCUAGUACGAGAGGACCGGAGUGGACGCAUCACUGGUGUUCGGGUUGUCAUGCCAAUGGCACUGCCCGGUAGCUAAAUGCGGAAGAGAUAAGUGCUGAAAGCAUCUAAGCACGAAACUUGCCCCGAGAUGAGUUCUCCCUGACUCCUUGAGAGUCCUGAAGGAACGUUGAAGACGACGACGUUGAUAGGCCGGGUGUGUAAGCGCAGCGAUGCGUUGAGCUAACCGGUACUAAUGAACCGUGAGGCUUAACCUUACAACGCCGAAG
rnacentral:rRNA from 1 species